AAUCUGCUUUGUUGUUUGAUCAGCCACUGCCGCUGACUGACAAGGCUUAUGAAUGACCAUUCUCAAUGCCCAUAUAGCCACUACUUAACCACUUAACCUACGGUCAUGAAUAGUUAUAUGUUCAUAUAUCUGAUUGGUUCCUUUUUCUCACUGUGUUACAUUCAGUGACUCAGUCAUUCUUCUAGGUCCAUAAAUAUGAAAUUGCAUGUUAACACGAUGAUACCCUGACUGAAACGUUAAAAGUGCUUAUAAGUAAAUCUAAAGAAUUUAUCCACUUUAUUUUCAACUCUUGCUAUCUUCUUAAGGCUUAUUUUGAUAUUUAUAAUAGUUUAACUAUAUCAUAGUUAUGCUUGUAUUAUUUUUGAGCCAUAUAUAUGUAGGCAUUUACAAUCA
rnacentral:lncRNA from 1 species